AAGAGGAGGAGGAGGAGGAGGAAGAGGAGACCCCGAAAUCCCCCAGGACCCCCCUGGAGCAGCCCCGGGACCUUUUCGGCUCCUCCAGCCUCGAAUUCCAGACUUUCUGAAGACGAAAUUCCAGGAAUUCCACAAUUCC